rnacentral:rRNA from 1 species
UACGAAGGGAGCUAGCGUUGUUCGGAAUCACUGGGCGUAAAGGGUGCGCAGGCGGCUUUCUAAGCCAGAGGUGAAAUGCCAGGGCUCAACCCUGGAACUGCCUUUGGAACUGGAAAGCUUGAGUCUCGGAGAGGUUGGGGGAAUUCCUAAUGUAGCGGUGAAAUGCGUAGAUAUUAGGAGGAACACCAGUGGCGAAGGCGCCCAACUGGACGAGUACUGACGCUCAGGCACGAAAGCGUGGGGAUCAAACAGG